UACGAAGGGGGCUAGCGUUGCUCGGAAUUACUGGGCGUAAAGGGCGCGUAGGCGGCGCAUUUAGUCAGGCGUGAAAGUCCUGGGCUCAACCUGGGAACUGCGCUUGAUACGGGUGUGCUAGAGGAUGGAAGAGGCUCGCGGAAUUCCCAGUGUAGAGGUGAAAUUCGUAGAUAUCGGGAGGAACACCAGUGGCGAAGGCGGUUACCUGGAGCUUUGCUGACGCUGAUGCGCGAAAGCGUGGGGAGCGAUCCGG
rnacentral:rRNA from 1 species